rfam:Oxytricha trifallax strain JRB310 Contig7125.0 macronuclear, whole genome shotgun sequence.
ACCUCCAUGGUGUAAGGGUAGCACAUGGGACUCUAAAUCCUUUAGUCAGAGUUCGAAUCUCUGUGGAGGUA